rnacentral:tRNA from 1 species
GGACUGGUUAGCUCAGUGGUUUGAGCACAGUGCUGACAACAAGGACCAAAACCGAAGCUGCGAGUUCGAUUCCCGCUUGGUCCC